rnacentral:rRNA from 1 species
GCAAUUAUACGGCGAAACUGCGAAUGGCUCAUUAUAUAAGUUAUCGUUUAUUUGAUAGCACCUUACUACUUGGAUAACCGUGGUAAUUCUAGAGCUAAUACAUGCUGAAAACCCCGACUUCGGAAGGGGUGUAUUUAUUAGAUUAAAAACCAAUGCCCUCUGGGCUCUCUGGUGAUUCAUGAUAACUCUUCGAAUCGCACGGCCUUGCGCCGGCGAUGGUUCAUUCAAAUUUCUUCCCUAUCAGCUUUCGAUGUUUGGGUAGUGGCCAAACAUGGCUGCAACGGGUAACGGAGGGUUAGGGCUCGACCCCGGAGAAGGAGCCUGAGAAACGGCUACUACAUCCAAGGAAGGCAGCAGGCGCGCAAAUUACCCAAUCCCGACACGGGGAGGUAGUGACAAUAAAUACUGAUACAGGGCUCUUUUGGGUCUUGUAAUUGGAAUGAGUACAAUUUAAAUCCCUUAACGAGGAACAAUUGGAGGGCAAGUCUGGUGCCAGCAGCCGCGGUAAUUCCAGCUCCAAUAGCGUAUAUUAAAGUUGUUGUGGUUAAAAAGCUCGUAGUUGAACCUUGGGCCUGGCUGGCCGGUCCGCCUCACCGCGUGCACUGGUCCGGCCGGGCCUUUCCCUCCGCGGAACCCCAUGCCCUUCACUGGGCGUGGCGGGGAAACGGGACUUUUACUUUGAAAAAAUUAGAGUGCUCCAGGCAGGCCUAUGCUCGAAUACAUUAGCAUGGAAUAAUGAAAUAGGACGCGCGGUUCUAUUUUGUUGGUUUCUAGGACCGCCGUAAUGAUUAAUAGGGACAGUCGGGGGCAUCAGUAUUCAAUUGUCAGAGGUGAAAUUCUUGGAUCAAUUGAAGACUAACUACUGCGAAAGCAUUUGCCAAGGAUGUUUUCAUUAAUCAGGAACGAAAGUUAGGGGAUCGAAGACGAUCAGAUACCGUCGUAGUCUUAACCAUAAACUAUGCCGACUAGGGAUCGGACGAUGUUAUUACUUGACUCGUUCGGCACCUUACGAGAAAUCAAAGU